CAUCUCGGGCGCACGCGCUACCCGGCAAGUCAGCGACCACUGCUUCGCUAUCUUCCUCUAAAAAAGGACUUAUCCCGAUCUCCUUUUCCGCUUCUCUGGUAUAGUCCAAGAGUAGUGAGGUAGCGACGACGAAGAAGGCCGCCGGCGUCGAUCCUUGAGAGGUUAAUGGGGAGGCGGUAGACCAGAGAGCCUCUGCAGCCAGUCUACCGCGGAGACAGAGUAAUUUCCAUCUCCCCUACUACCUCUCUUCCUCUCCUCAUCUCCUACCCUCUCUUUCUUCCAUCGCCUGGGAGGGAGAUCGACGAGGUCCUGAUCUACCAUGGCAGCAGUCACCCGUACCUCCGAGCUUGGCAACCAACCAUGGAGGUUCCUCUGCUCCAACCCUAGUACCAUGGGGCAAGUCAAGGGCCUGGAAACAAGGGGGAGGUGCGGAUGUUGUACUCCGCUGAGUGGCUUCUCUUGUGACGGCGUCACACCUGAUAUGGGGAUUGAAGGGGGGUUGGGCAGCAUUGGAUUCAGAAGGCGACUUUCCACUCCAAGAAUAGAAUGGUUACUUGGAUUUCGUUAAAAGAGUUGCAUUUUGUGUGUGUACCGCAGUUGCUUAGUUUUGUUGGGGCAGUUGCUCGGAUUCGAUUUUGAACAUUUGCUACAUUUCUGCCUUUUGUAAUGCAGUUGCUUGGUUUUCCUAGGACAAUUGCUUCCUUUUUACUAGAAUAGUUUUGCAUUUUGCGUUUUUUAAUUGAGUUGCUUGGAUUUUUUCUAGGCUAGAUGAGAAGUUGCAUGGGGAGGGGGGUCAGAUAGUUUUCCACAAAGGUUAUUCAAGUUUCUCACACCUUUUUCUCCCUAAAGUAGUAGAUAAUGUAAGUAGUAAUGCUAUUCCUGGUUGCAUGUGUUAGUUAAGAAUUUCCCACAGUUGUCCACAAUCAACCGUACAGUUGUCCAAAACCAUGUAUCCAGUUGCCCACAAUCAACCAUGCACUUGUCUAAAACCAUGUAUCCAGUUGCCCAAUCCUCAUGAGCAAUAACAUUACCAAGACCAUAAUUUGGCUAAUAUGCAAAGGUUUUAGAUACCUUUCAAGUUUGUGUCAUAGAGAUGUGUCAAGAAUUUAUCUCCUCGGGGUGGGAUCCCUUUGGUAUGAUCGUAAAUAAUUGGCGAUAAUCAUACAUGUGAAGCAGGGUGGAGUUGGUCAUGGGGACAUAACUAAAACCGCGAUCCUCCUCCUAGUCCCAGUCGUGCUCCUCCUCCCCCCAGCUACACGGCUAUCGCCCCGAUCCUCCUCUCGUCGACGCGCUCCAUGCGAAGCACAACACCGCCCCCACCCUCCACCCUAAAGUAGAUGCUAGGGGAGUUGCUUGAUUUUUCUAGGAAAAUUGCUUGGUUUUGCUAGGGUAGUUGCUUGUUUUUCUUGCUAGAACAAUUUUUGCAUUGUGUGUCCUUUUGUAGUUGAGUUGUUUGGAUUUUUUCUAGAACAAAUGAGAAGUUACAAGGGGGGGGGGGGGGGUAAGAUAGUUGUCCACAAAGUUUAUUCAACUUACUCAUAUGUUUUCUGCCUAAAAUUGACAAUCUAAGUAGUAGUGCCAGGGACAUCUGCUUGUUUCUGCUACAACAGUUUCCCACUUUUUGUGUUUCUUUGUAAUUGAGUUGCUUUGAUCUUCUGCUACAACAUACGAGAAGGUGGAUGAGAGGGGAGUUGCUUGGUUUUGUUAGGAUUUUUUUCAUAAAAGUCUAUUCAAGUUACUCAUACUUUUUUUUUCUCUGCCUAAAAUAGAUGCUAGGGGAGUUGCUUGGUUUUGCUAGGACAACUGCUUGGUUUUGCUAGGGCAAUUGCUUGCUUUUUUCCUAGAACAGUUUUGCAUUUUGUGUUUUUAUAUUGAGUUACAAGUAAAAGGGACGCUCAACCUGAUGCUUCACAGGGCGGAAUGGUGGAUCAACAGGAGGUACCCAUGGUUUUUCCAGAUUUUUUUUUGAUGAAACGAUGAAGAUGAAGAAGGAAGGCAACCGGAACGGGCGUAGAGAGGUGGAUAGGAAGUAAUUCUAAAAACAAUAUUGUAUUAGUAGAUUAAGUUGCAUCGGAAUAUAUAUAUGGAGAUGGUCAGUUCAUAUCAACAGUUGCAUAAAAUUGCCUGGAACACAUUUUUGUUUCUUUAAAUAGUUGCUCAUGAAUCACACUACAAUUGCCUAUGUUAAAGAAUAUAUAUACAUUAGUGCCACCGA